CCCAACAGGCAGGAUUCCAACAGUGCAGAAGCCCCCAGGCCCCAAGUCCGGGGUGGCGAGGGGUGGCGGACGACGAGGUCGUCCUGCCUCCCCGGGGAGCCACCUUGGCCCUCCCUCUGUCCUGCUGGCUGGGUGCCGCGCUGCGGGGCUGCUCAGAGAGGGAGUUUUAAACACCUGGGGAAGCAUGUGCAGAAGAUCGGUUUCCUCACCCAAGGAUGGGCACGACCCUGUGGCCUAGCAUCCAUGGCACGGUUCUGAGGGCUGCCUCCCUCUGCCCUGGCAGCGUGGUUCCAUCUGCAGUGAGGAGAGUCCAGCGGCGCUCUGCAUGGAAGCAAAUCCAUGGCGCCCUGCUGCAGGAGCACCUGCAAAUACUCAUCGCCUCCUUAUUUCUCCGGAGGUCUCUCACUUAAUCCCCAGUCUAUUUCUGCAACACUCUCCCAUCAGCCAUAGUAACAGCAGCAGCAGUUUAAAUGUACUGACUGUUGACUAUGUUCCAAACACCUUUCUUUUUAAUUUAAUAAUUUUUUUG